GUCCCUGGGCCCGAUCAGGAGGCCUAACGGAAGGCCUCGUUUUUCCUUUCUCCUGCUGCCCCAAUUUCCCUCCCUUUACCUCACAGCGUCCCUGCCUCGCUCGCCCUGAGCUGGCCACAGGAGUGCUGUGGAGAGGACUCUGGGGACCUAAGGCGCGGUGGGCUGCCGGAGACUGCUUUUCGGGGCAGCAGCCCAGAGCUGGGCAAGAGCGGAGUCCAGACGCAUGGAGGUGUGGGUCGGGCUCUCACAAGCGGCGGGGCCUAGUGUCAGCGCUUGUGUCAUCUGCCCUCUCCCAAGGCACGUGCAUUCUGCACUGGCGAGGCUCUGGUCGAGUUCUGUUUCAUACGAUGAGCUGAGGUCUGUCUGCCCCAGCUGUGUGCUCAGCCUUCUCUCCCUCCAUCCAUGCAACAUCUACCCGCCCAGUCCCCCGGGUAUCUGUUGUGAUUUAUGUCUGGACGUCUCCCAAAGCCUCAAGUGCUCAGAGGUGGAGCUGGUGGAAGGUGAGUGGAUUAUGGGGGCACUGCAGCUGGCUUGGUGUUGGGAGGUGGGUCCUGGCCGGAAGAGGCAGGUCACUGGGGAUGUGACCGGAAGGGGAUCGCUCCCUCCCCAGCUCCUCCCUUCCCCCUCUACUUCCUGGCUGCCAUGAUGUGAGCAGCUUUUCCUCUGCCUCGCCUCUCUGCCAUGACGUUCCCUUCCUCGGAGCCAGCCGAGGUCUAGAAAUUCUGAACUGUGAACCAAAGUAAACCUUUUCUCCUUUAAGUUGCUGGUGUCAGUUAUUUUGUCCCAACAGCGAGCAAAGUGACUAAGGCAGUGUCCACUUAUACACCCACCUAUGCUUUCAUCUAGCCACUUGCCACCCCUCCACUCAAGCCUCUAUCCAGCUAUGUACCUGCCCAUCCAUCCAACCACGCAGCCACCCACCUGCCUAACUUCCCACUUGGGCAUUGAUAAUCUGCUCAUUCCUUUACUCCCCUUCCAUUCCACCAGCCCAUCCAUCUCGACUCAUCCAUCCACCAUCCAGCCUUUACCCUCUACCAUGCGCCAGGUCCCAGGUGUAGACUCAGGGACAGGAACUGGCAUUUUCAUGGAGUGAUGAGUGACUCUACUUGGUGAAGAUACAGGAAGGGCAGCACAAGUGAGCACCCAGGCUGGGACAGGGGCCAGAUGGUGACCUUUAGGAAGAAUUGGGGGCUAGAACUGUCUGGCACAGAUGAAUUUUGGAAGGACAGCAACACCCUAGCACAUGUCUGCC
rnacentral:lncRNA from 1 species